CCUACGGGGGGCUGCAGUGGGGAAUAUUGGACAAUGGGGGCAACCCUGAUCCAGCCAUGCCGCGUGUGUGAAGAAGGCCCUCGGGUUGUAAAGCACUUUCAGUGAGGAAGAACGCCUGGUGGUUAAUACCCAUCAGGAAAGACAUCACUCACAGAAGAAGCACCGGCUAACUCCGUGCCAGCAGCCGCGGUAAUACGGAGGGUGCGAGCGUUAAUCGGAAUUACUGGGCGUAAAGCGCGCGUAGGUGGCUUGAUAAGCCGGUUGUGAAAGCCCCGGGCUCAACCUGGGAACGGCAUCCGGAACUGUCCAGCUAGAGGGCAGGAGAGGAAGGUAGAAUUCCCGGUGUAGCGGUGAAAUGCGUAGAGAUCGGGAGGAAUACCAGUGGCGAAGGCGGCCUUCUGGACUGACACUGACACUGAGGUGCGAAAGCGUGGGUAGCAAACAGGAUUAGAUACCCGAGUAGUC
rnacentral:rRNA from 1 species